UACUCCUACGGGAGGCAGCAGUGGGGAAUAUUGGACAAUGGGGGGAACCCUGAUCCAGCCAUGCCGCGUGUGUGAAGAAGGCCUUAUGGUUGUAAAGCACUUUAAGCGAGGAGGAGGCUACUGAGACUAAUACUCUUGGAUAGUGGACGUUACUCGCAGAAUAAGCACCGGCUAACUCUGUGCCAGCAGCCGCGGUAAUACAGAGGGUGCGAGCGUUAAUCGGAUUUACUGGGCGUAAAGCGUGCGUAGGCGGCUUUUUAAGUCGGAUGUGAAAUCCCCGAGCUUAACUUGGGAAUUGCAUUCGAUACUGGGAAGCUAGAGUAUGGGAGAGGAUGGUAGAAUUCCAGGUGUAGCGGUGAAAUGCGUAGAGAUCUGGAGGAAUACCGAUGGCGAAGGCAGCCAUCUGGCCUAAUACUGACGCUGAGGUACGAAAGCAUGGGGAGCAAACAGGAUUAGAUACCCUGGUAGUCCAUGCCGUAAACGAUGUCUACUAGCCGUUGGGGCCUUUGAGGCUUUAGUGGCGCAGCUAACGCGAUAAGUAGACCGCCUGGGGAGUACGGUCGCAAGACUAAAACUCAAACGAAUUGACGGGGGCCCCCACAAGCGGUGGAGCAUGUGGAAUCACUAGUGAAUUCGCGGCCGC
rnacentral:rRNA from 1 species